GGGGAUUUAGCUCAGUGGUAGAGCACUUGCCUAGCAAGCACAAGGCCCUGGGUUCAGUCUCCA
rfam:Rattus norvegicus chromosome 9, whole genome shotgun sequence.